rnacentral:rRNA from 1 species
CACGUAGGGUGCAAGCGUUUGUCCGGAAUUAUUGGGCGUAAAGAGCUCGUAGGCGGUUUGUCGCGUCUGCUGUGAAAACGCGAGGCUCAACCUCGCGCCUGCAGUGGGUACGGGCAGACUAGAGUGCGGUAGGGGAGAUUGGAAUUCCUGGUGUAGCGGUGGAAUGCGCAGAUAUCAGGAGGAACACCGAUGGCGAAGGCAGAUCUCUGGGCCGUUACUGACGCUGAGGAGCGAAAGCGUGGGGAGCGAACAGG